rnacentral:rRNA from 1 species
GUCUACGGCCACACCACCCUGAACGCGCCCGAUCUCGUCUGAUCUCGGAAGCUAAGCAGGGUCGGGCCUGGUUAGUACUUGGAUGGGAGAAUACUACAUAAUUCUUAUAACCAUGUGUA